GCUGACAAGCAAGAGGAAGCCCAGGGAAGUCCUCUCCGUCAGCUCUCACCGCUCACAAGUACCUCCAACAAAAACCCUUGGCCUCCAGCCCAACCAACUUGUGCUCCUGGAUGUCGCAUAAAUAUUUGCUGCAGGCAGUGCCGCUCCGGAGAUGCAAAACACACCUGCUUUCUGCAAACACCGUCCUGCAAGAGCGAGGCAGCUUUCCCCUGUGAAAAACUUCAUCGAUGCAGAAGGGCCCCCGCUGCACUGCCCGACCACCCGCAGGUGAAGGGUGCUGGAUCUUGGUUUACCUGGGAAUUUCUAGAAAGCAUGCACAUAAAAGGGAGACCAGAGCACACGGCGUAAUUUGUUUUAAUAGACAUUGUUUUACAUUUAUAGCAGUGAGAAAAGUGCUUCAGAAGGAGAUACUUAAGCAAGCUACAGUAAUGCUAUCAUCCGAUUCCUAGUAUUUCAGACAUAAAGGGGCACUGCCAGAUCAAGUCUGUUGCUUUACAAUAGAGCAAGUUAAAGACGAGUAGUUGUACCGUAAAGAGAAACUGCUGUCACUUUCCCCUGCACGUUUCAUGCAACUGAGACCAACUGGGACACUGCACAUUCUGAAGUUCUCAGAAACGAAGAACUUUCUGUGAUACUUAAGUCUGCAAAACACUUUGGGCAGGAUAUCACACAGAAGAGAAGGGGGGGAGGUUUUGUUUUUCAGAAGAAAGUAUUUCUCCAUCAUACCUUCUCUGACCGCAAUGAAGAUGCCACAUAAAAAAAAAAUAGUAA